rnacentral:rRNA from 1 species
GACGAACGCUGGCGGCGUGCUUAACACAUGCAAGUCGAACGGAAAGGCCCUUUCGGGGGUGCUCGAGUGGCGAACGGGUGAGUAACACGUGGGUGAUCUGCCCUGCACUUCGGGAUAAGCUUGGGAAACUGGGUCUAAUACCGGAUAGGACUACGCACUGCAUGGUGUGUGGUGGAAAGCUUUUGCGGUGUGGGAUGGGCCCGCGGCCUAUCAGCUUGUUGGUGGGGUGAUGGCCUACCAAGGCGACGACGGGUAGCCGGCCUGAGAGGGUGUCCGG